CUUAAUCCACAAAAGAAACUUGAUAGAUUUAUGACCUUAUCUGACCCAAUAAUCUUGUGUACUGUAGACUUGAAACAGUGGUUUGCUAAUACCAACUCCUAAAACUCAGGGAAUGAGAUGACCCAGGGAAAUGUCUUUCCAGUGCCUCCAUCUGACUCACAGUAAACACAUGCAGGUGGGUUGUAUAAGGAAGCAAGCUGUGCCAACCAAGAGGAGCAGGCCAGUGGGCAGUGUCCUCUGCAGUCCUACAUCAGUUCCUGUAUCCAGGUUCCUUCUCUAGUUUUCCUCAGCGAUGAAUGAACUGUGAUGAGGAAGGGUAAGCCAAUAAACACUUUUCUACUCAAGUUGAUUUUGAUCAAUAUUUUGUUACAGCAACAGAGAUACCAACUAGGACAAUGGAGUCCUGAGCAUUACUUAAGCAGACAAGAAUUAAUGAUAGUAUGAUACUAUCAUGUUAAUUUGGAAUUUUUACCUGAGUUUUAUACUUGACUUCUCAGGAAAAGUCUGCCUAGGAAAGCACCUAAUACAUUAUCAAAUAGAUCUUGAAACUGAGCAAGUGUACAAUAUUUUAUGAUAGUGACAACUAGCAGUGCUAUUGUUGGAAGGGGUAUGCUGUCCUUCAUGUAUUGACAUUCAGAUGCUCACUGUCUGGGCGUCAAGAAUCCUGGCCUAUGAGACAUGAGUAGAUCACAGGGAGGAACUCCUACAAGUGGAAGUAGUGCCCUUAUAACAGUGCACAAAAGAAUUUUUCUUGUCAUUCUACCAUGUGAAAUCACAACAUCCAUGAGUCAAAUAAUAUCAAAUUUGCCACUUCAACUAUUUUGUAUAUUCUAUUGCUUAUAAACUACUCAGCUCAUGAUAAAUUUAAUGGCAACAUAAAUGUACUAAAACAAUUGAUAUAAGCAUAUCAUAAUUACAUAGUUCUGAAGACCAGAGGUUCAUAAUGAAUUGUAUUGGACCAAAUGAAUACUAGGCCCAUUUUUCUUUUGUGGGGUUGAGAGCAGACUCUGUUUCCUGGCUUUGGCAAUCCCUAGAAGCCAACUGUUUACCAUGGCAACAGUCUCUUACUCCACAUUCAGAGACAACAGCCUGGCACCUUCAGCUUUCUCUCUGUCAGUAAUGCUCCUGUCUUCUCUAAUGAGGAAUUCCAGGAUUGGGUUAGGCUAUCUGCUUAGCCUGGGAAGAGCUCUUCAUCUGAAGAUCUUUAAUUUAACCUCAUUUGGAAGAACCUUUGUGAUGAGAAGUAACAUGUACAGAAAUGUGGGAGAUGAGGACAAGUGUGUCUUUGGAGUCACUAUUCUGUUUAUUAUGUCUAUUGAAUCGAAAUAACUAUCAGGCUUCAAGGGCCAUAUGGAAGACAGGCCUGUUUUGCUACAAAAAAUGUGGCUUUUUCUCUUAUAACAGACUGUAUUUUUAAGGUCCUCACUCAUUUGAUAUCUCUACCACCCAUCUUAUUAUCUAAGGCAGAGGUUCCAAGAGCAGUGAGAUAGAGGAAAACUGGGGUGAGGAAUUUCCAUUUUUUUUGACUUUUUAUGUUCAACCAUUGUAAUGAAUAAGUUAUUAUAAAAGGGUUUCAAUAUUAGUCACUGGAGAUUCUUCUGUGGUGUGGUAAUGACUAACCCAAAGGGCUUUGUUUUCUUUUCCUUUUGUACUCAAUUAGCUACUAAUUUCUGUCUUCUAAAUAGACUCUUUAUUUAGAAAUUUGGAGGGAGGAAAAAUUUCCUUUCUCAGUGGCAUCACCAUCUAUCAAACUAUGUGUUUCCUUUACCCUGCAACUCCCUGAGGACUAUCUGACUGCAAGUUUAGUAUCUCAGAUGAAGAGUGUGGAUCUUACAAGGCCCAAUUUCAUCUCCAGUGCUGAAAACCCUCUCUUUAUAUUGUGUCAGUUUUUGGACACAGGCUUGUACACAGAUACAAUCAGGAUGCUGUGACUCACAAAUCAUCACAUUUAUAUAGUACAGUAUUGGGCCUUCAUUAUUACUGGAGUUGUCUUGAGACUGCCUUCUUUAUUAUAAUCUAAUCAAGCUUUGGGGGAUUCUCAGACAGAUUCAUUUCACUUUUACCUCUUUGGAACUGUCUUAAACUUAAACUUAAACUUAAAAAAAAAGAUUUUUUUUUAUCAAUCCUGUGUUACUUUCCUUCUACUUAGCUGAGUACUACACAUAUUUCAGCUAUAAAAUGUGCGAGCAUUUCCUAC
rnacentral:lncRNA from 1 species